rnacentral:lncRNA from 1 species
UGAUCGUUAUUUCCUUUAUGCUCUAAACCUUCAUUUUGAGCAGCUACUGUUAUGAUUUGUGUAAUUUUCAUGGUUUUGCAUGUUUUCUCCUCCGGCACCCGGCCAUGUUUAGUAAAGUACAACGAUCGAGUUGCAGGCUACGCAGUGAUGAAGCUGCUCGAUCUGCAGGAAGGUUUUUUACUUUGGAAUUCACACACAGAUCAGGCAUCGGGGUACCAGCGGGGUGCCUGGGCGUUAGGCAAACGAGCGAUCGUAACGGACCGACGGGACGGAACGGAUCCAGGAGACUUUUUUUUGUUAGUAAAAGUAAUGGUGGGGGGUUUAAGUGUUAAAAUUACCCACCUCUUAAUCUAGCCAUCGGAUAUAAAUCUAGCGCCUG